rnacentral:misc_RNA from 1 species
AAGUCGUAACAAGGUCUCCGUUGGUGAACCAGCGGAGGGAUCAUUACCGAGUUUACAACUCCCAAACCCCUGUGAACAUACCUAUCGUUGCUUCGGCGGAUCCGCCCCGGCGCCCUCGGGCCCGGAUCAGGCGCCCGCCGGAGACCCAAACUCUAGAUUUAUAUUUUAGCAUGUCUGAGUGGAAUCAUUACAAAAUGAAUCAAAACUUUCAACAACGGAUCUCUUGGUUCUG